rnacentral:misc_RNA from 1 species
GGACAAUGACGGUAUAAGUAGGCUUUGUCAUUGCCUGCAUCCUUGCCUCAAAAUUUGAGAUAUCCACACCCUGAAUAUGUAUCUCUAAAGGCACAGGGCGCACAGUAGGUGGGAAAUUGAAAAGGCCAUGAGAACUCGCACCUAUCCAUUCACCAAGGUCCUUAGCAUUAGCAAGAGAAGCGGAAAGAGCUACUAUGCGGAUAUUACUCUCAAUCUGACUAGCAAU